CACACACACACACACAUACACACGUACGCAGACACAAGUGAGAGUGCGCUCCUAACUCCUAGAACCCUUAUGCUGACACCUGUGUAUGCUGGAAACAGAUCAGUGUUACUAGAAGGCAACACUGAAGUUGAAAACAAUAUGGUGUCCUACACCUUCAGUGUCUGUGAAGCUUCAAGACUAUUAUACUUCCUGGCAGUAUGUUCCAGAAGGGAAAGGGAGUGAGGUCCAGAGUCAGAGUACUACUUCAGUCCCACAAGGCUGGUGAGCUUCAAUCAAGAUCCAAUCCCAGACCAGGGUGUCUGCAGUGCUCUGUUGUUCUCCACAACAUCACACCACCUCCCACGGUUUCCAGA
rnacentral:lncRNA from 1 species